rnacentral:rRNA from 1 species
CCCUUAGACGUUCUGGGCCGCACGCGCGCUACACUGACCAGUGCAACAAGCAUCCGUCCUUGGCCGACAGGCCCGGGUAAUCUUUGAACGCUGGUCGUGAUGGGGAUAGACUUUUGCAAUUUUUGGUCUUCAACGAGGAAUUCCUAGUAAACGCAAGUCAUCAACUUGCAUUGAUUACGUCCCUGCCCUUUGUACACACCGCCCGUCGCACCUACCGAUUGAAUGGUCCGGUGAAGCCUCCGGAUUGGCGCGCACCUCGGUGCCGCCGAGAAGUUGGCUAAACCUUACCAUUUAGAGGAAGGUGAANUCGUAACA